GCUACCGGGAUUUGUCAUAUGAUUAAAUCUAAUCCUAAAAGAUUCAGUUUAUUUAAUUAGAGUCCUAGUAGGAUUAUAAUUAAAUAAAUUAGUAUCCUAAUAGGAUUCCAAAUCCUUUUCCAUAACUCUAUAAAUAGGUGCCUAGGGUCACAUAUUUAUAUCGAGCAUUCAAGUAUUCAAAGUGAGUUUUUGAGAGCAAAAUUCAGUCAUACAAUUGCCUAUAAAGUCCCGAAAAUUCUAAGUACCUUAAGGGCGAUUCUAGUUGGUCAAUCUUAAGGCGGAUCCGGACGUGAUGUGGACUAUCUAUGGAGGGACGACACUUGGAGUCCUAAAGACUUGUUCUUGUUCGGUUCGGGCGCAGCUAGGGAGGGCACGCAACAAAGAGUACUUGUUUCACUACUCAUUUGAAUUUAGCAGCAUGUUCGUACUCAAGGAACAAAUUGUUUGACUCUGCCAAGUAAGACAAACUUGUUAUGAAUUUGAAUACUUGGAACUUAGAAACAGUAUGUGCUAAUCGCUGGGUCGAGGUGUGAUGCCUCCCUACUUUUAGAAAUGCUAAUCUGUAGAUUGUUCUUUCCGACCUUAGUUGCGGGAGAUAUUUGGGACUACGAGUCCUACUCAGAUGUGAAGGGCGUAUGUAAGAUGCGGCGCUAUGAGGGGUAUGCCUCAUGGUUACUUGGGGUUUGCAGAGAGUAUUUGCCGCGUGUUCCCCAUUCUUGUAGAGGGAAUCGGGGUUCCAACCCCCGAGUGUUUACCUUUGCUUUCUUUGCUUGCGUUGGAAAUUUUCUUAUGGCUAUUCAUUAUCCUUUGAAGCAAUGGUUGAACUGUACGAACAAAUAUGUGUAGAAAGAUUAUCAUGCAUGUUCGAUGCAACAAGAUGACCGGAGUUCUCAUGAACUCGUGAUGUUUAUUUCCUUAUUAGUCUGGAGCAACUUUUAAGUUCUAAGUAGUUAACCUUACUUAGAGUCGGGAUAAGGGAUUAGAAAAUCAAGGCUCAUUUUAUGGGAAUGAACACUAGGAUUUUCUCCCUAUGACAUAUGUGUAGCACUAGCAUCGAGAAUUUGCGAUAAAAUCGGCAAUCGGAGUGGUUUUGUGGUGUUUUCUCCAAGCCCCCAAGCAUAGCUACGGGAUUGAAUUCGCGCUAUGACGCUUGGCAUAUGUUUUUCAUGUUCGUGAUGUCCAGGAUGAACAUAAAUCGUCUAAUGCAAGGUAUGUGUAAAGAACGAGUAGUAAUUUCUACAUGUCUUAUUUUCUUUGUAGGUGUCGUGGUAGGUGACAGAGCCAUGGUCAAGGUGGUCAAUAAGUUGAAGUUUGCCCGGACCAAGGCUCGAGUGACUCUUUUUAGCCAGAGUGGGCUCCAACUUGUACUUGAAGAAACAGACAUAAAACGACAGCAUGCACAGUUUAGGUUUAAGGUCAACAACGUCUUUUUUGCGGCUUUAGCGGUUUUACAUCUGUAGAAAGAUAUUAGUUAGAGAUUGCAAUUUCUGUGCCAAAUUACUCGCAAUGAGGAAGUCUUGUAUGUUCAAUCAGUUGUUAAGGAAGAGACCAGACGUGUUGGCUAAGCUAGCCCCCAGUAUAAACCAGAGCAACGUUUUUUGCCUCUUUUGAACUAGACAUGGGAAGGUGCAUCCAGACUCGAUUUCUUAACAAGGGAAUGAACAGACAGACUAAGAUAGAAGACAUAUCCAACUAGUUUUCAAAAACAGGAGAUUUUGAAAACAAAAAAAGAAAGAGGUAGGGUCCUUAUUUAAAAAACACAUUUGAGAAUGUUCAAGGGAUUCAUUUGAGAGUGCGGUCACGUGGUUUAGCAUAGUCUGAAAUCAAACAGUCUCUUUUUCAUUGUAUUGGAUUCGGAAGCUUUCACUUGGGCUGUUGGUUGUAGUGCUUGCAAAUUACUUGUAAGAAAUAUCAGUUGCUCGAUUAAGGAUGAAGUAUAGAUGCUCAAAGUCCAAAAAAGGUGAAGGACAUUCUUGCAUGAAGAGAUGUUAAGGGAUGAUAAGGAUAGUAAUCACAAUCCUGUGCUGUUUACGAAAGAGGUUUGAUUGUCUUACUUAGUUUUUGUUGGCAAUGUUUAAGAAGACGUAGAUGUGCCUUUUAUUUAAGGAAUUUAUUUAUGUAUUCGAAUGGCAGGAAACAAGUUAUUUUAGGAAGUGAAUGCUUCCUUUUGGAAGUUAUGCCUAAAGCGGCGAGUUGCUUCUAUUUUGGGAAAAGUGAUUAGGUCGAUAAUAGAAUCGUGUGCCUAAUUAACAAGACUUUUGCAUUUAAUGACUUAAGUUGAAUUUUAUGGAUCCAUGUUUUAUUCACUUUUAGCCGGAGUGGGCCGAGUUCGUUUUGUUCAGAAUAAAUGUCCAUAAUGAAUUUGGACUAAAGUGGUUACGCCUUUAGGGGUUGCAUACAUAUCCAAGUUGGAAUCAGGCCUGAUGUACCUCUGGUUUUUUUGAUUCUUAGUCAUUCUUUUAUUAUAAUUUCACCUUGAUUUGCGCAAAAUUGCAUAAAAAUUAAUCGGAUUGUGCAUGGAUAUACCCCCCAAGUGUUCGGAUUUUUCUGCAAAAGUGCGGGAAAAAUUCUGAACACUUAAGCACAAGCGUUGGAAAAAGUCCAGCGCACAGCUUGCAUGCGCUAUAAUUUUCUAGCGCUCGGCGGUUGGUAUGCGCAGCUUUCACAGGACUCGAUUUAUUUUUACGUUUCCUUUUCUGGUUGAUUUUGCAAAUUUGAUUAACUUCUUAUUGCCGAGUAAUUGGUGCUCGUUUUUUUCAGGUAUUCCCGAGUGGGGAUUUCUUUUUUCUUUUGCGAGUUAAGAAAGACUUAUGUUUAUUACUUCACCUCACGGAGGGAUUUUACUAGAUUGUAACGUGGUUAAGCUUUGGGUUAAGGCUCAAAAUUUCCCACUAUAUCCCGAGUUAAACUGACAACUGGACUUAAUGUUUAUUUUUGUUUGAUCUUGGCAGAACUUCGUCAUUGUUUACUCUUCAUAUUUCUGUUUUUUGGACUUUUUGGUUGGCCGGUUACUUCACUGUAUGCUUGGAUUCUUUCUUUUCAACAGUCUUUGAUGUGUAGUCCUUUUCAUUUGAUUAGUUCCUUCUUCUUGUCCAUUUUAUUGUCAUGGUGCAUUCCCAUCCCUAGGUUCGGAUUAGUGCGGGUAGAACAAAAAGGCUCAUUCAGACGAGGUUCAACAUGGCUAACAAUAAAGUGGUUCAUUGUUUCUUGGUCAAGGGAAAGGACAUUUUCAAAGGUUUCAAGUUUCUUCUUGUGUUGGUGAAUUAUAUCUUUCAGAAAUCGUUAAGGUGGACUUAAUGAGUCCCCAGCUGUUGGUCCUGAGAUGGAUUUUUUUUUUUUUUGAAGUUAAUGGGGUAUGUUGGGCCCAGGUGAGUUAUUAUUUGCGAACUCUUUUAUGUAAAGUGCAGAAUAAGUUUUGCUAUUUGUCUUGUGCAUCGAAUAUUUGUCUUUUGUUUGUUCAUUGCUUUACUGUUAUGGUAAGACAUUCAAGGAUGUACUUUAAAAGCAAUUUUAUUGAUUUUGGAUGAAAGUACAUGAUAAGAUGGCUUUUACAUCAAUUUAUCCUUUUAUUCUAUUUUAGGAACAAAAUGAAAGGGAGAAUGACAUAGAAUUAGUUUGUAGUGCUAUAUUCUAAGUCUGAGCUUCUUUGAACUUUGAGUCUGCAUUUUCGAGUUUUGGAUAAUCUUUAGUCUUUAGCAGUCAACAAUCUAGUUUGUAGCUUCGCGUUUCCAGUCCAGGAGAGAUUUUUUUAUGAGUCUGUCAUUCUGAACAUUCUGGUGGUGGAAUGUUUGAUAUGGUAGAGGGUAAGUAUGCCAUAGUUGUCCCAAAUGUUGUUUGGUGCUAAAGGAAUGCUAUGAGAAGUCAAUUAAAUUUUAAAAAUUGAAGGUGAACGUUUAAUCUUAAUUGGAGUAUAAUGCUCUCAACUUCACAUCUUACAUGGGAAAGGUCAAGACCCCAUCCUCAAUUAGAUCUUUGCAUUCUUUAAGUUCCAACACUGGUGGAUAAGAUGGCCUUUUCUCUGAUGAUACUCACAAUAUGAGCUGGGGUCCCAAUACUUUCCUUUUAAAGGGGGGUCCGGGGUGGGACCUAUUGGACAUAGUAUUCCUCGAGUUGUGAAUUUAGAAAUCAUUUUUUUGUACGACUCGCCUACCAGAGUGAAUUUUCUGCCUUUAAUCCACCUUUAGCCCUUUUCGGUUGACAAGCAAAUUCAUUAACUGUCUUUGUUUUUUUUGAAAAGGGACUUUGUCUCGUUAAAAGGUUAGUUCAUUUAUCCUUUGAUGGUCAACUGUCUAGGGAGUGGGGUGCUCCGGAGUGUUGUAACCUAUUCGGCGGAUUGGGCAAUUGAGAUGAUCACUUGGACCGUGCUCACAUUGAUGAAUUUGCUUGUGUGUUUCUUCUAAGGUGAUGAGGCGAGAAGUAAGCUCUUCAAGAGUAAUCUUGAUUAGAUGGAUUUUCUCUUGAAUGGUACUCAUGUUCGGAUUACAAAAGAGAGUGGAUUUGACGAGGAUUUCCCUGACUGAUUGAAGUUUGUGUUGCCGAGCGACCGUUCCUUGAAUUAUUCUUGAAUUAGUCAGGACUCUUAGGGAAGAGUUGAUGAUUUUUUUUUUGAAAACUAGAAAGAAAGAAACUAAUUUUGAAAGGUUGGAUAUGACCACCUAGUUCUUGAUUAAAUGUUGACAGAUUAACGCUACCAGCAAGUUCAGAGGAUAAGGAAUGCUUGAUCAAUCUGAGUGGCAAACUGAGUACUUGGAGGUUUGGGUUGCCAGCUUAAAGUUAUCCCUUUAUUCUUAACUGAGUAUUAUACUGAAUAAAUAGGUUGCUCUAAAUUUGGAUGAUUAGAAAUUGGGUAAUCAUAAUCAUUUCUAGAUUUAAUCAAAAUAACAAAUCGGGUAAGGGACCAAACUUGUAUUUUAGGCAGUGUCUCUAAGUCAAGUGAGAGUACGUUAUAGUGCUUUCAUGGUCUAUAUUUUUAAGAUCUAGGUGAUUUGAAUGGAAUGCAAUGAUCGCUUAUAAAUUAAGAGUGUUAAUUUAUUAACUUCGAGGUAUGGACUGACUUUUAUAAUCCUUUUAUAUGGUGAAUGCCAUCUAUAAUAAACGUACUAAUUAUUUGGGAUAUGUUAGCGCGAUAUUUCGGACGAGUCGGACUCAAAGGUUGGGCAUAGGUUUGACUCAAAAUACAAAAACGGAUUUUGACAAAACUACUAGGCUGCAACAACUAUAACUUUUGAUCUGUUAAUUGUUUUGGGCUUAACCUGACUCUGGAUGAUGGACUAAGGUUAGACCUACGGAUUGAUAGUUUAUGGGCCUCACAGUUCUUUUGUAAAACUCUUUUUAAGACCGUUUUAGUGUUUUUACUUUUGGUUAUACGGGUUUCACUUAAGUUACGAAAUGGGGAUUAAGGGAAUUGUCCUAGGUGUAAGUGGAUUCUAGGGGAAGGACUCUAAGUGUGUGGAGAUUCUAUAGAGUGUAAUUUUAGGUGAAUGAUGACUAUACGGUAGGCUUUAACUUGGUUUAGACUCUUCGGAAACAAAUUUGGUUAAGACUUUAGGUGGACUUAGACUAGGUGAACUUAGGCUUUAAUUGACAUGAUGGACUCAAGGGAUGAUAGACUUGGCUAAUGUUUUUUACUCAAGGGAUGACAGACUUGGCUAAGGUUUUCGACUCGACUUGAUUCGUCCUUUGCCUCGAAUAUUAUUAAGCGAUUAUAACGAGCAAUUUGGUAUGAAUCCAUUUUAUCAACUGAUUUUAGGAAACAAACUCUUUUUUCUUUUUUUGAAAUCUUUGCUUUUAGUGAACGUCAAAGGUUAUUUUAGCGUGAACAAUACUACUUUACGAAUCGUUUUUAUUUUAAGCCAAGGGAACGUGAAAAUUGUCGAGAAUGAAGCCAACUGCGCUAGAAUAUUUCAGCGCUUGAAUUUACACCGUUGGAAUUUUCUAGCGAUGGCCUGUUGUGCGCUAGAAACUUCCAGCGCUUGCAGGCAUUUAUGUAGUUUUUUUUCCUUUUAGUCAAUUUUGUUCCGUGGCUUGAAUUUUACCAAACUGGUCCCUUUGUUUGAGCGUUCGUGCGCUCAGACAUUCAGCAUUCCGACGCAAAUGAUAAGUAUUUUGCGCUUACUGACCUUUGGGUUCGAUUGGUAAAAGCGAAUGCGGAUUUUUGUUAAUUUUGACUUAAUAAGGCUUCAAUUCUGCGAAGAAACCUUCGGCGCAAUCUUGAAUAUGCGUUCCGGAAUAGGUAUUUUCAGACAGACCUACGUAAUGCUUUGGCAAAUACGUAUUUCGGUCUUUCGAACUGGUUGCACGACAGACUGGGUUCUAAAUUUCGAGUUCAGGUAAAUAAAUCAAAUGCAAGGAAAAGUGAGUGUGCACUGGAAAAUUCCAUGGCACGAAAGGGCAGCGCUGGAAUUUUCCAGCGCAGGCCUGGUCAGCAUUGGAUUUUGAUGCACUGGCCAUUGUGAUUACUUUUAUUUUCCUCGUCAAGUGAGCUAGUAUGUUCUGGCGCUUCGAAUUUGAGCGCUGGAAUAUUCUAGCGCAUGUCAAGACAACACUGGUUUAUUCUUGCGCUGGGCUCCUGACUGCGAAAAUUUGUUUCUGAUUCGUAGUUUUAACAUUAUUUCGACGUUUAGAGUAUAUUUUUUGAAUUCGAUAAGCAUUGUCGACCUUAAACUAAGCGUCUGGUUGAUUAGUUUCACAUAGCACAUAAAAAUUUACAUCAAACUAACAAUAAGCAUGGUUUCAGGUAUAAUGUACACUUAUUUUAUGCUAGUCUCUAAGGUGCAAAAAGGCUUGGGUGUCAAAGUGUACCAAACCUAUCGCCAAUUCCCCAACAGGCCCUUGUCAGAGUAGUCUGGUUUAUGACGAAUUUUAUCAAGGCAUAUCCGGUAUGUGCUGGAGUGGCAUAUACCGUGAAUGGACCUAGGAGAUAAGAGGUUUAGUUUUGGUGGAUGUAUACAUUGCGAAUGCAUCGAGUGGAUAACAUCCGAAGCGCGUGCACCCCGGGGCUGAUAGGUGUCCUUAGUCCAGACUUCCGAUAUGUAACAUGCCAAGGAAGCCGAGAUUCGUUUAUGCGGUUCUAUCGCGGAUCAUUCGUCACAUUGAAUAUUCAUGUCAUCCCAACUUAAUAUGGAAAUUGUUGCGUAGCAUUCGAUUUCUGCUAUACGACUUCCUCACCGACGCGCUACUUGCAGAAAUUAUUUCAAUAUUGUCCCCAGUGGAGUCGCCACUGUGAGGGGGUCGAAAAACACGACGGGGAGCCUCCUAAAGAAAGAGUGUACGGCCUGCACGACUUUUCCAUCUUCUGGAUGUGACAAGCAUAUUAAGUAAAAGGGACUAACUGUGGGCGCUAGCCUCUUUUUACUAGUCUUUUAGGAGUCGCCAUUCAGUUUUAGAAAACUGACAAAACCCGGUUAUUAUGAUAUGCCUGGAAUGCAAAUAUAUGUGAUUCACGAAGGCCAUUGAUUCCCUUGUGAUCCCUGGUGUGGACAUCCCUCAACGUACAUCCAGCGGAGCAGAGAUUGAGAGUUCGGGGGACGUUUACUAAUACGGGGAGUGCCCACCAUUAGCCCACGCGGCGCGGUCCUCACUAGUUCAAUCGUGACGAUGAUGGGACAUGCGUUAUGCUACAUUACUACUCUUGAUUUAUUUUAAUGCACAAAUAUUUACUAAACAAAUGUCAAAAUGCUGAUUUAGAUUGAUUAAAGGGGCUUAACAAUACCAGUUUGUCCAAGAAUUAUCUGAUUUAAGCGUGAGCAAUAUAACAGAUUAAAGUUAGCAAAUUUAUAUGGUGGGGAAAGAAAUAGAAUAUAGAUUUAGAUUACAGCAAAGCGUAGGCUUUACUGCAGUUCUCAGGAACACUUACCACUCGCCUUAGCAGAGCCUCUUUUUAGCUUUUAGAACAACCUUUAUACUGACUUUUAGAUUUCUAUCCUUCCUUUAAUCCGGCAGAGUAUCCUUUUAGAUUACUUGGUUUUGGCUUAUGAAUUAGCUAGAAUCUCGGUAGUAAUUGGGAUGGUUUGAAUACUUGUAUGGACAGAGUUCUGCUUAACAAGAGUUAAUACGGCAGAAUUGUUACGAAUACGGGGUGGGACGUCAACAGAAAUUUAGUAUACUAGAGAGGGAAGAGAGAAUUCAGAAUAUCAGAGAAGUGAGAAUGAAUUGAUGAUUUAAAAUGGGGUGCCGAAGGGUUGUAUUUAUAGUGUAGGUAGUCUAAAUAAGAUAGAUAUUUGAAAAGUUCGAGCGCCGGAAAAAAGUAGCGCUCAAUUUGUAAGCGCUGGAAAUUUCCAGGGCUCUAAAAUGUAGCGCUAGAAUACUAGGAUUUGAAGAGUUUGAGUUUUUGUCAGAAUCAAUUUGCAGCGCUCGAAAAAAGCUGUGCUUGACUUGUGAGCGCUGGAAUUUUCCAGCGCACGAAAUGCCAGCGCUAGAAAAUUCUAGCGCAGGAAGAUAUGCGGAUUUCCAGAAAACUCAAUCUUUAAAAGCUCAUAACUUCUUCAUACAAACUCGGUUUCUGGCAAAUAAUAUCUUGUUGGAAAGGUACGGUAUCUAGCUUUCUAAUGUCACUGGUAUCUCAUCAAUGGGCUUUGUAAAUCUCGAGUUAUGGCCCACGGAGUAGAGGUCGGUCCGAUUCAAAGAAGCCCAAGUGAAAGCCUUGUAACUUAUUCGUUUUAUAUCGGAUUUGGGCUUAUGAUAAGUCUAUGGAAAAAUUAUACCAAGGCCUAUACAACCAUGUGAUGUGCAUGAUCCAAGUCAUAAUUUAUAAGAAAUACUUUGAUUUCGUAAGGACGUAUCAUUUGCUAAACGGGCUAACGAGCGUAUUCUAGGCACUCGUGAGCAUUUUAAGUAACUUGGGUUAACAUUUACAUGUAUUGUGCCCAAUAAGUAUGGGUUUGAGAAAUGUUAUUGUUCGAGAUAUAUUAUUCUAGAGCCUGAAGGCAAGCACUAGAACAUUGUGGCACGUACAACUGUGUUGUAAUGCGGACAAUCAUAUUCUAUCUUUCUAUCGACGCAACCACAUAUUAAGCCGUAUCGGAAUGCGAAUGCGACUAAAUAUGUGUCCAGUCUAUUUUAGGAAGUUACUAUAUUUAACAGGUUCUGCUCCGGAUGGUCUUUUCAGUCAGUCGAGGGUCGUUCUUUAGCUAAUCAGAGUGCAUUGUUGGCGAGCGGGUUAUAGUUUCAUCAUUGAACACACCGUGUCGGGCCUAGGGACAAUUGUAGGCGUCUACAGAUGCAUACUAUAUACUACAAUUUAUUCAUUGAUCAUUGUGAUAAACUUGAACUUUUAAACAUGUGAAAGUGUGUCCUUGUCAGUUUAUUCUUCAAUCUUCUAUUUACAUUUUCUAUUCAUUACAAUUGAUGGCGCAAGUAUAACAGUUGGGGAUUAGAAUUAUACAGAUCCCUUCUACUUUACCUAACAAAUCAUACAAGAAUCUGUUUGUUGGAUAAGUGUAUGAGCAUAUAUAGGGGGACUGAUCUAUAGAAUCCGUUUAUUGGAUUUCUUUUUUGUCGGAUCUGUAGAAUACAACUUCUAUUUAUGUUACUGACUUCCUUGCCUACUAACUGUACAACUCUACAAAUUACAUCAGUUUUGAUAUCUCUAAUUACACAAAAUUUAUACCUUAUAGCUAUCUCGUAAAUUGCAAAAUAUUCAAAACAACUAUUCUUUAUGUCGCUGGUAUAACUUCUGCAACAAGUAAAAAACUAAGGUGAAAGUCAACAAAAUAGUUCAUACUGGUAUAAUUUUGUGUCUUGAGUUCAGUUCGUUGCGUAUUUAUUUAUCUUUGUUUUGUUGAUUCGAUUGUGGUGUUUAAUUAGUCGUUCUUGUUGCUUUUGUGAAGAGUUGCUAAACAAUUUUAUACUGAUGAUCAUGAUAUCAACUUGUUAACCUAUGUUAUAGGAAAAAUACUUAAAAAAUGUAGAGAUUAUAUAUAGUUGCAAAAUAAAAAAUCAUGGUCAACCAGAGUUUUAUUAAGAUAAAGUCCUCCUUGAUUGUCAUUUGUUACCUCUACUCCUUGGAUACAAAAACAAACUUUUGUUUUGUUUGUUCUUUGUAUGUUAUGAGAAAAUAAGAUAAAUAUUAUGUACUGAUCUCCCAAAAAACUAAACGAGAAUGUGAUGUUAAUAAUUUGCAAAUUAAUGUGGUUUAAUGGUUCUUUGUUUUCUAUAAGUGUGUUUAUUUAUAAUUAUGAUUUUUUUUUCUUAGACAUGGAUACUAGUUGGAUUGACUUAUGAAAAGGGGAUACCCGUUAUUAUAACGGUUGCAUAGAAUUUUUAGAGGUUGCAAAUGAGACUCUUCUAGAGGGAGAUACUCGAUGCCCAUGUAAUAAAUGCAAGUUAAAUAAAUGGUUUGUCUUAGAAGAGGUAGGAGGACACAUUUUAUUUAACGGUUUUUAUAAGAAUUAUAUGAAUGGAUUUUCCAUCGUAGAGUUGAAGAGAGUAAUACCUUAGAGAUCCCUAGUGAUCAAGAAAAGGUAGUUGGUCGAGAUGAUAUGAAUGGGUUACUAAGAGAAGCUUUUAAGGUUGACAAUAGUCCACAACCCACCAACGAACCCAAUACCCAUCAUUAAAAGAAGCUAAUUUUGAAGAUGAAUAUUCGUAUGACAUGCAUGAAGAGUUAAAAUUUUGGUUGUGUGGAAGAUGAUGAAUUUCAAUCAACUAACACCAAUGAAGAAGAAGCAAAGUAUAAAUGACUUAGGGAAGCUUCUGAUGAGGGUCUAUAUGAGGGGUGUACAACUAUCUCAAAACUGUUGUUUCUAUUGCACUUGUUUCACCUCAAGUGUAUGUUCCAUUGGUCUAUCCCAUCAUUUAAUAAGUUGCUUGAGCUUCUAUUAGACACACUUCCUUAUAUUAAGGAGUUUCCAUCGUCGUAUUAUGAAGGGAUGAAGAUAAUGAAUGAUUUGGGAUUGGGUUAUGAGAAAAUCCAUGCACGUCCAAAUGAUUGCAUGUUAUAUUGGGGCGGAUUUGCAGGAAAAAGUGAGUGUCAUAUCUGCCACAGAUCAAGGUGGAAGAAUGUGAAAGAAAAGGAGGGUGAGAUAAGUGAGAAAGAUAAAGAAACAUGUAAUAAGGGUGUUCCAGCUAAAGUGAUGAGGUACUUUCCUCUGGUCCCUAGACUAAAGAGACAUUACAUGUCACCUAAAACAAUAAAGGACAUGAGAUGGCAUUUUGACCGCAAGGAUGGAAAUAUCAUAGGUCACCCGGCGGAUGGUGAAGCUUGGAAUUUUUUUUUGAUAAAAGAUAUGAGGAAUUCGCAAAAGAUCCUCGUAGUGUUAAAUUGGGUCUAUCAAGUAAUGACUUAAUUUAAUCUAUAUCGUUUGAUGAAUAUUGGUUACAGUACAUGGCCGGUGAUCCUGAUUCCUUAUAAUUUGCCACCGUGGCUUUGUAUGAAGUCGACAUUAUUCAUUUUGUCUUUGCUUAUUCCGGGGAAACAGGGUCCUGUUAUUGAUAUUGAUGUGUACUUGCAAGCAUUAAUCCAUGAGCUAAAAUUGUUGUGGGAAGGUGUAGAUGCCUUUGAUGCUUAUAGUGGAAAAAAUUUCAAGAUGCAAGCAGCCAUAUGCUCCACUAUAAAUGAGUGGCUAAAGUUGGUUAGAUAUUGGUAUUCAGAUAAAGGGAAAGUAAGUACCAUGUUUUUAAUUGAAGUUUGAUCGAUCUUUGUUUAUUAUUUUCUUAAUAAACCUCUUUGAAUGUGAGUGCAGAAAUUGUCAGAUUGUGGAAAAGAAGCACGAGCCUCCCAAAAUCAAUUUCAUAGAUUUGGUUCUAAUAGCUAUGCGAACCAACAAGUUGAUUAUGAAGACGAGCAUGAAGUAAAAAUGAGCUUAUUAGCCCUUUGGAUAAAGACUCAUUCGGGCAAGGACAAGACCUUUCUUCCAAACACACUCACUGAAGAUUUUUUUGAUGAUGCAAAGGCCAUGGUUGAAUCGCUGAAGAAUGCAGACCCUUCUAAGUCUCAACAAGAAAUUGGAAAUGAAGCCUUUGAGGACACUAUGCAUGGUGGAAGGUACCAGAACGUCCUGUAGGUUACAUACUUGGAGUCCGAAAGAGCAACAUUUAUGGAGUGCAUGGUGUGCUAAGGAAGAAUGGGUAUGGAAAACUUCGACAUAGGACCGUGGUGAUGGAAAAUGUGAAAGAAGAAGUGUCAGCUAUCAACAAGAAAAAUGAAACACUUGAGAAGGAAAAUGGGAAGCUGCAAGAGCAAGUGGAAGAGAAUAAUUGGCUGCUUAAAACUCUUUUUGGACAAUUUGCUCAACUUGCAGGUCAAGUUCGUACAGGAACUGCUUCAACAACAACUCUUGAAUGUGCACAACAAGUCUUGGGAAUGACACACAAAAGGGUCGUCCAACGUGAUAAGGUGCAAAAGAAGAAUGAAGGCCAAGACACUUGAGCUUCAUUUGAGCUACUACCAUCGAUCAUCUAUACAUAGUAUAUAUAGAAUAUAUUUUGAUUUAUGAUGUUGUUUUGGACUGUUUGGUUAGGAUUUCGGUUAGUGAUAUAGAUGCGUGUAUGCUUGGAUUCUGGUAAUUAGUAACAUACG